GACGAAGGGGGCUAGCGUUGUUCGGAAUUACUGGGCGUAAAGCGCGUGUAGGCGGUUGCCCAAGUCGGGUGUGAAAGCCUUGAGCUCAACUCAAGAAAUGCACUCGGUACUGGGUGACUAGAGGACUGGAGAGGAUAGUGGAAUUCCCAGUGUAGUGGUGAAAUACGUAGAGAUUGGGAAGAACACCAGUGGCGAAGGCGGCUAUCUGGACGGUUUCUGACGCUAAGACGCGAAAGCGUGGGGAGCAAACAGG
rnacentral:rRNA from 1 species